rnacentral:lncRNA from 1 species
GUCUUUCUUGGAUCCGCUCCUCCCUCUUCCACGCUUUAUUUUUCGCAUGAUCUUCGCUCGAUCUGUUCUCUGCAAGCCAUGAUAGAUGGGCAGUGCUCUGGCGUUCGACUGUUCCCAUGUUCAAAAAUAAAAGGAAAAAGGUCAAAAGCCAGCACUUGAUGAGCUCUCUCUCUCUCACUCACUCUCACUCACCAGCGCCACCAGCUCGACUCAUGGCCAUGGGGAUUUGCUCGAAUCUACCCAUCCACUGGGCCCCUCCUCCUCGGCCAAGGCUGCUCCAUUUCAUUGCUUCUUUUUACUGCUUUAUCUACACUUUUGUCUUGACUCGGCGCCUGCAAUAAUAAGAAACAAAUAAAUAACUACACGCAUGGAUAUUUUCAAGAUAAGGUUGCUGCUUCUCUGAGCAUUUUUGCUCAUGCUGAGUGGGUUUUCCUCUUCUUUUUUUGCAUCUAGGUAUGGAUUUUGGCAGGUCCAAUGAGCAGAGGCUGCUGCUGGCCAGGAGCAAGAUGCCCUUCACUCCUUCACAGUGGAUGGAGCUGGAGCACCAGGCCCUCAUAUACAAGUAUCUCAAUGCAAAGGCCCCCAUACCUUCCAGCCUGCUCAUCUCCAUCAGCAAAAGCUUCAGACCCUCCUCCGAUAGAAGUAAGAAUCCUGCCAAAAACAUGUACUCACAUCUCUUUUUUUUUUACUGAGGUAGAAAUGCAGGCAACGUUGUAUGUAGAUAUAACUUGCCUGUAAAUGUGAUGCGGUAAAAGAUCUCUCUUGAUGGAAAUGUGAGAGAAAGUACUGUCUGUCCUGCACGUGAUAUCUAAAAGCAUGUCAGCAAAUAUUGUUUUUGCAUAUUUAUAAUAUUCCCCAAUAAGAAUACAUAUCACUGGUUAGAAUAUAUUCCAAACAAGUUAACAUGUAUCAAGCACAACCUUAAUACUACCUACUUACUUGGUUAUACAACUAUAAAUGCAAGCAGAGCAUGACUUGCUUCUCUGUAAUGCAGUGCCCUGGAGGCCUGUCUACCAAGGGUUCACCAAUGCAGA